AGAGAAAGUGGGAGUGAAACAAGCUAGAGAGGAGCAAGGGAAAGCUUCAGAGAAAGAUGCAUCCUCCUCGUGCUAUGUGAUCAUUUCUGCUGUUAGGAUAGUAAGAUGGGUCAGACGGCUGAAAGGAAAGAGAUGCAGCCAGGGGUGUGGCUGCAGUCUCUCUCAGGAAAACUCAGUCUUGCCUUGAGCUGCAACAUCUCUGACAUAACAGUUGUGCCAGUAUGCCAGUCAUGAACAGGCCAGGGUUUUGGACAGGCUCAGGGUUGAGCAGACUCUUUUCAUCUGGGGAACUAUGGAACUAUGACGAGAAUUCUAAGGAACAGCGCUUGUCCAAGCAAGACCUACGUACAGCUAAGGAGACAAGCUCCUCUCAUAGUCACACUCUCAAAGGCUUACCUCGGUCUCAAAGUGUCAGAGUUGAGCUCUGUGCAGGAAAAUCGCCUCGGUGUGAGACAGUGGAGCGAGGUGUGCAAAUCCCGGAAGAUAUUCUAACAGGAUGUCUGACUGCUUGCCCUGAGGAAAAGAGAUCGUCUGAAAAGAAUGGCAAUAAAGAAACACUUCCCCCUUUACUCAAUGUGGCCUCGUCUCUUGAAAAUGUUUCCAUCUGUCCAUCAUUCUCAAACACUCCGAAAGCAAAAACAGUCACUGUAAGUUCCAUGACGGGAUCUUCUUUCCUAUCCAAUAGCAAGGAGCUCUUUGAAGAUUGCCAGAAGAGGUAUGAGGGACAGAGGAAUGCACAGGAUCAGGAAUUACCAAUGACGUCCUGUGCUAAUCUCGAUGCUGUGGACACAGACUUCGCUAUAGAGGCGAUGUGCGACCCAGUAAUUCUCAAUGUACAGAACGACCAAAGAUCACAAGGUCUAUUGCCGUUAAGCAAUAAUGGCGAGACCAAUCACCAGUUAACCAGUACAGGGACUGAGGAGUGUUUGGUAUCCCACCCAGGCAGCACCAUAAUAGAACCUAAAGAAGCUGAACAAACAACGAAGACCAACAUAUUUGUAUCCAACAGAGGAAGUUUGUUCAGUGCAACCUUUGUCCACAACACAGGCAAUAGUGACACAAAGAUGAGUCGUGAAAGCCCCUCGUGUGAUGACAGUGUCUCUGAAACAGGGGAUGAAUUAGAUGCAUUUUCUUCCAGCAGUGACUGUCUGACCUACAUUGAGGACGAGGAGAAGGCUGUUAUAGAUGGAACGAGAGGUGGAGGAAACACACGCUUUCCACACUUCACCAGAAGGUCAAAAAAUGGAUCACAAACUCAGCCUUUAUGUCUAAACCCAGCAAGGAUAUACCACUCUUCUUUGAGUAAGCCAUUCGCUCAGUCGUGCAUUCCACUGGUUUUACAGAUGUCCAAACCAGUUACUAGAGGGUUGUCAAAAACAACUGUAUCUGAGGAGGGUCUGUCAGAAAUCCUUUCCCCGGUGGAUGAGGUUCUGUCCUAUGGAAGCUACGAGCUCCCUCCACCUGUAGCGCACUGUGCAGGAUAUGGGAGUGUUAGCUCCACUCUGCUACCUCCCCAACCUGCUUUUGAGGUGAUCACAAGUGAAGAGGAAUUCCCGCCUUCUUCUGAAGGAAAUUAUCUGUAUCUCAAAGAAGAUCCAUCCAUUAACAGUGAGCUUGUUCUUCCUCUCCCUGAUGAUAAGACACCACAUGUAAACAACACAAAAAACUCUGGUGAAACUAACAAAGACCUUGCUGAAGGUCAGAAUGUUUUUGACAGAACUGAGAACUCCAGCUUGGUUCCAGCGGACGAGGAUGUCACAGACUUGCUCUUCUCCUUUGACAUUGGCGACAGGGUUCUUGUCUGCCUUUCCAGACCUGGUGUGCUGAAAUACAAAGGGCAGGCAGCAUUUGCUGGUGGCCUUUGGGCAGGUGUGGUGCUGGACAGGCCAGAAGGAAACCACAACGGGACCUUUAGAGGGGUGAAAUAUUUCAGAUGUGAUAGGAACUGUGGUGUUCUGGUCCGAGCGGAGGACAUCUCUCCUUUACGAGGGACACAAGACAGUGAUCUGGAUACUGAGCCUGAGGAGGAUCCCUUCUCAGAUGAAGAACCACCAAACUGCUUGAAACCACAAGAGGAUGGAUUGAAAGAAGAUGAAGCCUCAGGUGGACCAUUGGAAGGCAACAUAGACAGGGAACAAAAUAAACCAAUCAAUGAUCCUUUAACUACUAAAAUGACCUAUAAAGAGGGACAAUUACAAGAGAAAUGGUGCCAAAACCCUCAACUUGAUUGUUGUAACGAGACACCUGAGGCAUCAAGUUCAUCCAUCCCUAUGCCUGUAUCAUCAUUAUUUCAAAUUGGUUUUGAUUCAUGCCCCCAAACAGCAGGACACAACAUGAGCUCUAGUUUUGACAUAAACUCUUGGGUGGAAAGUUUGACCGAGGAGCUGAUCCAAGACCUUAUGAUGGAUGCUCUAGAGCUAAGGAUGAGAAACAGAGAGAAAGGCUUGCUCAAAGAGGACAACAUACAAAUUGAUAUGAAGAAGAUCGUUACAGAACUACCCACCACCAACGGACCAAGCAGCGUGGUAAGGAGGAGUAGAGGGUUCAGGACUCCUGGACUUGGGAGGAGAUAUUGGACGGUAAGGGACCCUGGAGACAGGCUGGGGAAUAUCGCCACCCGAAAGCAGAACUGCUGGAGGCGGCGGAAGCGCAGAGGCGGCGAUAUGAGGUAAGGCAUCGCAGCAGGCACGAGAGGCAGCCCCUAAUUUUUUUGGGGGGGGGGCACACGGGGAGAUUGGUGGAGUCAGGCGAUAGACCUGAGCCAACUCCCCGUGCUUACCGGAAGCAGCGUAGUACUGGUCAGGCACCGUGUUAUGCGAUGAAGCGCACGGUGUCGCCAGUGCGUGCUCAUAGCCCGGAGCGCUAUAGGGCAGCCCCCCGCAAGUGCCAUGCGAGAGUAGGCAUCCAGCCAGGGCGGAUUGUGCCAGCCCAGCUUGUUUUGUCUCCGGUGUGCCGUUUCGGCCCAGGGUAUCCUGCGCCGGCUCUGCGUACUGUGUCUCCGGGGCGCUGGGAGGGUGCUGUUCGUCCUAUGCCUGCGCUCCGCCCGUGCUGGGCGAAAGUGGGCAUUGAGCAUAAUGGAGAGGUGCGAGUGGUAAGCACCAGAUCUCCAGUGCUCCCCCACAGCCCGGUUCGACCUGUGCCUGCACUCUGGAGGGGCCGGGCUAAAGUGGGCAUUCAGCCUGGAGGAGUGGUGCCAAGGCUGCGCACCAGAGCUCCAGUGCUCCCCCACAGCCCGGUUUAUCCGGUGCCUCCUCUACGCACCAGGCUUCCUGUAGGUCUCCCCAGCCUGGUGGGCCCUGUGGCAGCCCCACGCACCAGGCUGUCUCUGCGUCUUCUCCUUCCAGAGUCUCCCUCCAGUCCGGACCCUCCAGAGUCUCCCUCCUGUCUGGAGCUGUCAAAGUCUCCCUCCUGUCCGGAGCUGUCAGAGUCUCCCUCCUGUCCGGAGCUUCCAGAGUCUCCCUCGUGUCCGGAGCUUCCAGAGUCUCCCUCGUGUCCGGAGCUGCCAGAGUCUCCCUCGUGUCCGGAGCUGCCAGAGUCUCCCUCGUGUCCAGAGCUGCCAGAGUCUCCCUCGUGUCCAGAGCUGCCAGAGUCUCCCUCCUGUCCGGAGCUGCCAGAGUCUCCCUCCUGUCCGGAGCUGCCAGAGUCGCCCUCCUAUUCGGGGCCCGCUGCAAGGGUCCUCAGUCCGGGGUCGGCAGCGAGGGUCGCCGCUCCAGAGGCGCCACCUAAGUGGGCCAAGACUAAGGUGGAGUGGGGUCAACGUCCCGCGCCAGAGCCGCCACCGCGGAUAGAUGCCCAUCCAGACCCUCCCCAAUGGGUUUAGGUUUUGCGGCCGGAGUCCGCACCUUUAGGGGGGGGGGGGCUACUGUCACAACCUGACCUUAGUUCCUUUUUUAUGUCUCUAUUUUGGUUUGGUCAGGGCGUUAGUUGGGGUGGGCAUUUAUGUUUUUUCUCUAUGUUUUCUUUUCUAUGUGUUUGGCCUGGUAUGGUUCCUAAUCAGAGGCAGCUGUCUAUCGUUGUCUCUGAUUGAGAACCAUACUUAGGUAGCCUUUUCCCUGGAAUACUGAAAUCGGGGAGAAGAUAGCCAGAGCGAAUUUACCAGCUACAGUUGAAGUCGGAAGUUUACAUGCACCUUAGCCAAAUACAUUUAAACUCAGUUUUUCACAAUUCCUGACAUUUAAUCCUAGUAAAAAUUUCCUGUCUUAGGUUAAUUAGGAUCACCACUUUAUUCUAAGAAUGUGGAACAUUAUUUCUUUCAUCACAUUCCCAGUGGGUCAGAAGUUUACAUACACUCAAUUAGUAUUUUCUAGCAAUGCCUUUCAAUUGUUUAACUUGGGUCUAACAUUUGGGUCUAACAUUUCGGGUAGCCUUCCACAUUCCUCCAUUCCUCCUGACAGAGCUGGUAUAACUGAGUCAGAUUUGUAGGCAUCCUUGCUCGCACACACUUUUUCACUUUUGCCCACAAGUUUUCUAUAGGAUUGAGGUCAGGGCUUUGUGAUAGCCACUCCAAUACCUUGAAUGUGUUGUCCUUAAGCCAUUUUGCCACAACUUUGGAAGUCUGCUUGAGGUCAUUGUCCAUUUGGAAGACCCAUUUGCGACCAAGCUUUAACUUCCUGACUGAUGUCUUGAGAUGUUGCUUCAAUAUAUCCACAUAAUUUUCCUUUGUCAUGAUUCCAUCCAUUUUAUGAAGUGUACCAGUCCCUCCUGCAGCAAAGCACCCUGACAACAUGUUGCUGCUACCCCCGUGCUUAAUGGUUGGGAUGGUGUUCUUCGGCUUGCAAGCGUCCGACCAGCAUCAGACCAGAGGACAUUUCUCCAAAAAGUACAAUCUUUGUCCCCAUGUGCAGUUGCAAACCGUAGUCUGGCUUUUUUAUGGCGGUUUUGGAGCAGUGGCUUCUUCCUUGCUGAGCGGCCUUUCAGGUUAUGUCGAUUUCGGACUCGUUUUACUGUGGAUAUAGAUACUUUUGUACCUGUUUCCUCCAGCAUCUACACAAGGUCCUUUGCUGUUACUCUUGGAUUCAUUUGCACUUUUUCGCACCAUAGGAGACAGAACGUGUCUCCUUCCUGAGCGGUAUGACAGCUGCGUGGUCCCAUGGUGUUUAUACUUGCAUAGUAUUGUUUGUACAGAUGAACGUGGUACCUUCAGGCAUUUGGAAAUUGCUCCCAAGGAUGAACCAGACUUGUGGAGGUCAACAAAAAAAAAACUGAGGUCUUGGCUGAUUUAUUUGGAUUUUCAUAUGAUGUCAAGCAAAGAGGCACUGAUUUUGAAGGUAGGCCUUGAAAUACAUCCACAGGUACACCUCUAAUUGACUAAAAUAGGCACAGUCAACUUAGUGUAUGUAAACUUCUGACACACUGGAAUUCUGAUACAGUGAAAUAAUCUGUCUGUAAACAAUUGUUGGAAAAAUUACUUGUGUCUUGCACAAAGUAGAUGUCCUAACCGACUUGCCAAAACUAUAGUUUGUUUAAAAGAAAUUUGUGGAGUGGUUGAAAAAUUAGUUUUAAUGAUGCCAACAUAAAUCAAAAUGAUAAGAAGUUGAAGCUCAGUAUUGAGAAGUCAGAAGAAAAACAGCGCUUGACCAGUAUUGAUUAGUCAGCUCUGGAAGGUCAUGGAUCUUUACACAUGAUAAUAGCCCCUAACAUCUUGUCUAUUUUUCUCAUAUCACAAUAUGGGGUCAGAGUGUGCCCAAUCUAUAGCCGAUUACCAGCAUGCCAUCUAAGCGCUCUUGGCUUUGAAAUCAAGGAGCGACUACGAACACACACACUGGACAGUGUGUGUCCACUGGAGCCCUGAUUUCGAGGCCUAUUUUCAUCAGUUGCUGUCCGACGCCAUGAACAAGAGAGCACAAUAUGUGCUAAACAGCUUGGGCAUCCAAUCAGACGUAAUUACAAUUGGUCAAAUCAAAUCAAAUGUUAUUGCUCACAUACACAUGGUUAGCAGAUGUUAAUGCGAGUGUAGAGAAAUGCUUGUGCUUCUAGUUCUGACCGGGCAGUAAUAUCUAACAAGUAAUCUAACAAUUUCCCAACAACUACCUAAUUCACACAAAUCUAAAGGGGUGAAUGUGUUACAUCUGCUCCUGCCAAGCCCUCUACUGCUCAUCCUGUGUCUCCUUGACCUUCUGCCACUCCCCCAGUUCCCUCUCCCUCUCUUUCUGUGUGUGUGAUUGUUUGGGUGGAGACAGGGGUGCUGGAGUCAGAGCAGAUCCGCACCAGCUGCAACCUGUUCCAUAAUCAAGACCUCUACAAAUACUCAGUCCUGCCACUUCCACACUGCCAGAUCGUAAUCUCUGCUCAUUCUGCCCGCUCUGACUCUGGUCCCUGUCUCCUGUCCCACAUCUCGUCAUCCUGCUACUCUGUCCUGGAUUCCCCACUCUACUGCUCCCUUGGAUUCCCCUCCGGACCUGCUUACUCUGUCCCAACCCCUCUCCCUCUAGCCUUAGCCUCCACACUUGGAUUCCUGCAACGCCCGAGCUUCGCCUGGCCUGCACUCCCAUCUCCCCCCUGUUUCAAUAAAUACCUUAGUUACUUCAUCCCAUUCUCCUCAUCUGAGUCUGCUCUUGGGUUUCCCUGUUCCACUCCGCGUAACAGAAUGAGAAUAUGUACAUAUAAAUAUAUGGAUGAGGGAUGGCCGAGGGGCAUAGGCAAGGUGCAAUAGAUGGCAUAAAAUACAGUAUAUACAUAUGAUAUGAGUAAUGUAAGAUAUGUAAAGAUUAUUAAAGUGGCCUUAUUUAAAGUG